CCUACGGGCGGCAGCAGUGGGGAAUAUUGGACAAUGGGGGCAACCCUGAUCCAGCCAUGCCGCGUGUGUGAAGAAGGCCCUCGGGUUGUAAAGCACUUUCAGUGAGGAAGAACGCCUGGUGGUUAAUACCCAUCAGGAAAGACAUCACUCACAGAAGAAGCACCGGCUAACUCCGUGCCAGCAGCCGCGGUAAUACGGAGGGUGCGAGCGUUAAUCGGAAUUACUGGGCGUAAAGCGCGCGUAGGUGGCUUGAUAAGCCGGUUGUGAAAGCCCCGGGCUCAACCUGGGAACGGCAUCCGGAACUGUCAAGCUAGAGUGCAGGAGAGGAAGGUAGAAUUCCCGGUGUAGCGGUGAAAUGCGUAGAGAUCGGGAGGAAUAACAGUGGCGAAGGCGGCCUUCUGGACUGACACUGACACUGAGGUGCGAAAGCGUGGGUAGCAAACAGGAUUAGAUACCCUUGUAGUC
rnacentral:rRNA from 1 species